rnacentral:rRNA from 1 species
UACGUAGGGUGCGAGCGUUGUCCGGAAUUAUUGGGCGUAAAGGGCUCGUAGGCGGUUUGUCGCGUCGGGAGUGAAAACCAGGUGCUUAACACCUGGCUUGCUUUCGAUACGGGCAGACUAGAGGUAUUCAGGGGAGAACGGAAUUCCUGGUGUAGCGGUGAAAUGCGCAGAUAUCAGGAGGAACACCGGUGGCGAAGGCGGCAUCCUGGACCAACACUGACACUGAGGAGCGAAAGCCAGGGGAGCAAACGGG